AUACGGAGAGUGCAAGCGUUGUUCGGAUUUACUGGGCGUAAAGGGCACGUAGGCGGCAUAGCAAGUUAAGGGUGAAAUCCCGGAGCUCAACUCCGGAACUGCUCUUAAAACUGCUAAGCUAGAGAUAGUCAGAGGCGGGUAGAAUUCCUGGUGUAGAGGUGAAAUUCGUAGAUAUCAGGAGGAAUACCGGUGGCGAAGGCGGCCCGCUGGGACUAUUCUGACGCUAAGGUGCGAAAGCGUGGGGAGCGAACGGGAUUAGAAACCCGGGUAGUCC
rnacentral:rRNA from 1 species